GAGUAGUGAUCUUACCAUGGUCAGGCUUAUAAAAGGCCGAAUGGGUAACAUAAAGAAAUGAGCCUCUUUAUUAGCUCAAGUAGAAGUGAACCUUCUGCUAAAGAUCGUCAAAUUGACGGGAAACCCCUAAAGCAAUCUUAACUAACUUAGUAUGGUAACAUAAAUAAGGGCGCAGGUAAUGACUCGCGGUAUAGUAACAUCAAGAUUGAUUACGAAAGUGAAUGGGCAAUCCGCAGCCAAGCAGCAUAAUGGUUUUACAUUGUUAUGGUGUGCAGUUCAUCGACUAGAUGGUGAUCGGCGAAAGCUUAAGAUAUAGUCAAACCUCUGUGGAAACAUAGCA
rnacentral:ncRNA from 1 species